GGGCGUAUGGUGUAGUGGUAUCACUCAUGCUUUGCAAGAUCUUAUCAUUUAACUUUGUAUGCGGUCCAGGGUUCAAACCCCUGUGCGUCCA